rnacentral:misc_RNA from 1 species
AAGUCGUAACAAGGUCUCCGUUGGUGAACCAGCGGAGGGAUCAUUAGCGAUUCGACACAAAAACCCUGUGCAUUUACCGCUAUUCUCUGGCAGGGUGCCCUGGGGAGGGCCAUGCCACCUGCCAGAUUUUUACUCUCGUACCCUCUGAAUUUGAGUUUAAAAGUCUAAAACUCUCAACAAUGGAUCUCUUGGCUCCG